rnacentral:rRNA from 1 species
AUUGAACGCUGGCGGCAUGCCUUACACAUGCAAGUCGAACGGCAGCAUGGAGAGCUUGCUCUCUGAUGGCGAGUGGCGAACGGGUGAGUAAUGCAUCGGAACGUACCGUGUAAUGGGGAUAACGUAGCGACAGUUACGCUACUACCGCAUACGACCUGAGGGUGAAAGCAGGGGAUCGCAAGGAGUUGCGUUAUACGAGCGGCCGAUGUCAGAUUCGCUAGUUGGUGAGGUAAAGGCUCACCAAGGCGACGAUCGGUAGCGGGUCUGAGAGGAUGAUACGCCACACUGGGACUGAGACACGGCCCAGACUCCUACGGGAGGCAGCAGUGGGGAAUUUUGGACAAUGGGGGCAACCCUGAUCCAGCCAUGCCGGGUGAGUGAAGAAGGCCUUCGGGUUGUAAAGCUCUUUCGGCCGGGAAGAAAUCGCACAGGCUAAUACUCUGUGUGGAUGACGGUACCGGCAUAAGAAGCACCGGCUAACUACGUGCCAGCCGCCGCCGUAA